CCUUGGACCAGCUCGCCAAAUCUGGGACCCUCUCCUCUUACCACACUGCUUUCCCGGGCAUCCCCAGCCAUUAGAGUCCGAUGUUACAGGCUCUAACCCUUUUCUUGACAUUGCCUAAAAGGUGGAGGACGGGGAGGAGGAGAAGGAGGAAGCAGCAGCAAGUCAGUUUGACAUUGUAAGGAAUGACUCUUUCCUUAGGGACAGUGGUCUCUUUCCCUGACCAGGCCUUGGACUGCGGUCCCCAGCCAAAGGUCUUUGCAGGAGACUUGCCUUCCUUGAGAUUCCAGAGGAGGCCUAAUUGGCCUUUCUUUUCUGGACUGCUAAAAGAGAGAGGGCCCAAGGACUGCUCUUUAAUUUCGACCUAAAGGAUUCCUUAGUUCUGAGAGGAGAGAGGAAGGUUCUGUUUACAGAGACUGCACGCACUGCAGCCUUAAGCUGGGAUGUCCUCAUGUUUCUUAUAUGGGGGGGGGGGUCAGCCAUGGCCUGCUGCUGGACCUCCAUUAGACAAUGAGGCUUAAGAGUGUGACUGCCUCCUAGUAAUCCCUGGGACUUCUGGGUACCAACCUAGGUGCCCUCAUAAAGGGUCUUGCUGCUUGUCUUGGGUCUAGAAGACACUGCUUCUGCAGUGAAAAAGUACAUACUAUGUCACUCUGGCCACAGAAUGCCAGCCAGACCUGCUGCUGGCCUGAACUGCCCCCAACACUGAGCCUCCUGCCUAGUGUCUGGCAGCUGGGCACAUGUAGCCACAGUGUCUGUGGCCAGAGGGAAGAAAACAUAGUGAACUCUGCCUCUGUUCCUCACCGGAGUCUGACAGAUAACCUCAGCCCAGCCUUAGGAUUUUGAGCCUGGAGGCAAGAGGAAGGAGCUGGAGGAAGAGGAGUCACAGAGAAACCCAGUCUUCCGGCUGGUUUCUGGUGAGGUCUCUAUUCAUCACUGGGAGCUAUUUCCUCAGGAGAGAGUUCCAGAAGGGGAACUGCUAUUCUUCUAGGCUGUGGACCCUGUUUGCUGACAGUCGACACGCUGGCCCUGCUGCCCAUGUCCCUGUGUGAGAAGUGCAAAGGACAGGUGCCUUGCACCCCAACCUCCAGGGACCCCUCAGCACAGGCCCUGCCUGUUCCCAUGGUGCUUCUCACCCUGAGCCUUGUAGUCUCUGCCGGGAAAACAGCGGAUGAGCAGUGAGCUGGUUUCUGACCCUCUGGUGGCAGGGGGCUUGGGCUUCCUCUUGACCCUCUUUCCCUCCCCCUUUCCCCAGAUCUUCAAUAUUUGUUGUGAUGUAACAGCCACAAGAGCUGUAAGAGGAACUAUGGGCUUUGGGUGCUUUCUUGGGUUGAAAGAGGGGUGGGGGUGGGGGUGGGGAAAUGCAUGCGAGGCGGGGGGGUAUGAAGGCAGCCCAAGGAUUCCCAGAGACUCGGGAGGAAACCCAUUUGAAACAAAUGUGUUAUUGUUAUUGUGUUAUUGUUGCAUUACUGUGUUGUGAAGAUAAGAAAUCAUUCUGUAUGCUAAAGCUUUCUCCUCAAUAAAAAUAUAAAGGGUGUGUAAA